GGCUUAACACAUGCAAGUCGAGCGGUAGCAGGCCUUCGGGUGCUGACGAGCGGCGGACGGGUGAGGAAUGCAUAGGAAUCUGCCUAUUAGUGGGGGAUAACACGGGGAAACUCGUGCUAAUACCGCAUACGUCCUACGGGAGAAAGCGGGGGAUCUUUGGACCUCGCGCUAAUAGAUGAGCCUAUGCCGGAUUAGCUAGUUGGUAGGGUAAAGGCCUACCAAGGCGACGAUCCGUAGCUGGUCUGAGAGGAUGAUCAGCCACACUGGGACUGAGACACGGCCCAGACUCCUACGGGAGGCAGCAGUGGGGAAUAUUGGACAAUGGGCGCAAGCCUGAUCCAGCCAUGCCGCGUGUGUGAAGAAGGCCUUCGGGUUGUAAAGCACUUUAAGUGGGGAGGAAGGUUAGUGGUUUAAUACGCUACUAAAUUGACGUUACCCACAGAAUAAGCACCGGCUAACUCUGUGCCAGCAGCCGCGGUAAUACAGAGGGUGCAAGCGUUAAUCGGAAUUGCUGGGCGUAAAGCGCGCGUAGGUGGUUUUGUAAGUUGAAUGUGAAAUCCCCGGGCUUAACCUGGGAAUGGCAUCCAAAACUGCACGACUAGAGUAUGGGAGAGGGAGGUAGAAUUCCAGGUGUAGCGGUGAAAUGCGUAGAGAUCUGGAGGAAUACCGGUGGCGAAGGCGGCCUCCUGGCCUAAUACUGACACUGAGGUGCGAAAGCGUGGGUAGCAAACAGGAUUAGAUACCCUGGUAGUCCACGCCGUAAACGAUGAGAACUAGCCGUUGGUCUCCUUGAGAGGUUAGUGGCGCAGCUAACGCGAUAAGUUCUCCGCCUGGGGAGUACGGCCGCAAGGUUAAAACUCAAAUGAAUUGACGGGGGCCCGCACAAGCGGUGGAGCAUGUGGUUUAAUUCGACGCAACGCGAAGAACCUUACCUGGUCUUGACAUCCACGGAAUCCUGCAGAGAUGUGGGAGUGCCUUCGGGAACCGUGAGACAGGUGCUGCAUGGCUGUCGUCAGCUCGUGUUGUGAAAUGUUGGGUUAAGUCCCGUAACGAGCGCAACCCUUGUCCUUAGUUGCCAGCGAGUAAUGUCGGGAACUCUAAGGAGACUGCCGGUGACAAACCGGAGGAAGGUGGGGACGACGUCAAGUCAUCAUGGCCCUUACGACCAGGGCUACACACGUGCUACAAUGGCCGGUACAGAGGGUUGCCAAGCCGCGAGGUGGAGCCAAUCCCGAAAAGCCGGUCGUAGUCCGGAUUGCAGUCUGCAACUCGACUGCAUGAAGUCGGAAUCGCUAGUAAUCGCAGAUCAGAAUGCUGCGGUGAAUACGUUCCCGGGCCUUGUACACACCGCCCGUCACACCAUGGGAGUGGGUUGCACCAGAAGUAGUUAGCUUAACCGCAAGGGGAGCGAUUACCACGGUGUGAUUCAUGACUGGGGUGAAGUCGUAACAAGGUA
rnacentral:rRNA from 1 species